UACGUAGGUGGCGUGCGUUGUCCGGAUUUACUGGGCGUAAAGGGAGCGUAGGCGGACUUUUAAGUGAGAUGUGAAAUACCCGGGCUCAACUUGGGUGCUGCAUUUCAAACUGGAAGUCUAGAGUGCAGGAGAGGAGAAUGGAAUUCCUAGUGUAGCGGUGAAAUGCGUAGAGAUUAGGAAGAACACCAGUUGCGAAGGCGGCUCUCUGGACUGUAACUGACACUGAGGCACGAAAGCGUGGGGAGCAAACAGGAUUAGAUA
rnacentral:rRNA from 1 species